rnacentral:rRNA from 1 species
UACGUAGGGACCGAGCGUUGUCCGGAUUCAUUGGGCGUAAAGAGCUCGUAGGCGGCUGUUCAAGUCGAACGUGAAAACUCGGAGCUCAACUCCGAGCCUGCGUUCGAUACUGGACGGCUAGAGUCUGGUAGGGGGAUCUGGAAUUCCUGGUGUAGCGGUGAAAUGCGCAGAUAUCAGGAAGAACACCCGUGGCGAAGGCGGCUCUCUGGGACGGUACUGACGCUGAGACGCGAAAGCGUGGGGAGCAAACAGG